GUGCUCGCUUUGGCUGCAUAUAUAUUAAAAUUGAAACAAUGCAGAGAUUAGCAUGGCCUCUGAGCAAGGAUGACACCCAAAUGCAUGAAGCAUUUUAUAACAUU